rnacentral:ncRNA from 1 species
UUAAAGUUUUAUUUUAACUUAAAAUUUCAGUUUAUUGUUAUUUAAUAUGUAUAUAUUAUAUUAAAAAUUUAUUUGCAGUUUUUAAUUUUAAAAAAUUAUUUAAGUAAGCUUUAGUAAUUAAUUAUAGAUUUAAUAAAAUUUGUGCCAGCAAUUGCGGUUAUACAAAUAAUUCAAUUGAAAUUUAUUGGUUAAUAAUUAAUUUUUUUUAAUUAAUUUAUUAUUAAAAUUUUUAAGUGAAAUUUAAAUUUUAAUAUAAUUUUUUUAUUUAUAUUUGAAGUUAUUAAAAUUAAUAUUAAACUAGGAUUAGAUACCCUAUUAUUAUAAUUGUAAAUUUUAAAUACCAGAUUAGUAUUAGUUGUUUUCUUAAAAAUUAAAAAAUUUGGCGGUAUUUUAGUCUAUUCAGAGGAACCUGUCCUGUAAUCGAUAAUCCACGAUUAGAAUUACUUUUUUUUUCUUGUAUAUCGUUGUUUUUGAAUAUUUUAGAAGAAUUAUAAUUUUCAAUAAGUAUAUUUUAGUUAAUUUCAGAUCAAGGUGCAGUUUAUAGAAAAGAAGAGAUGGGUUACAUUAAAUUUAUUUUUGGUUUAUUAUUUUGAAUAAUAUUAUUAAAUUGGAUUUGAUAGUAAUAUUUUAUAUAUUUAUUAUAUGAUUUUAGCUCUAAAAUGUGUACAUAUUGCCCGUCGCUCUCAUUUAUUUGAGAUAAGUCGUAACAAAGUAGAUUUACUGGAAAGUGAAUCUAGUAUUAGU